UACGUAGGGCGCAAGCGUUGUCCGGAAUUAUUGGGCGUAAAGAGCUCGUAGGCGGUUUGUCGCGUCUGCUGUGAAAACCCGAGGCUCAACCUCGGGCCUGCAGUGGGUACGGGCAGACUAGAGUUCGGUAGGGGAGAUCGGAAUUCCUGGUGUAGCGGUGAAAUGCGCAGAUAUCAGGAGGAACACCGGUGGCGAAGGCGGAUCUCUGGGCCGAUACUGACGCUGAGGAGCGAAAGCGUGGGGAGCGAACAGG
rnacentral:rRNA from 1 species